CAGCCGCCGCGGGAAUACGAAGGGUGCAAGCGUUAUUCGGAAUUACUGGGCGUAAAGCGUGCGUAGGCGGUUUGUUAAGUCUGCUGUGAAAUCCCCGGGCUCAACCUGGGAAUGGCAGUGGAUACUGGCAAGCUAGAGUGUGUCAGAGGAUGGUGGAAUUUCCGGUGUAGCAGUGAAAUGCGUAGAGAUCGGAAGGAACAUCUGUGGCGAAGGCGACUAUCUGGGCCAACACUGACACUGAGGCACGAAAGCGUGGGGAGCAAACAGGAUUAGAUACCCCAGUAGUCCCUGUCUCUUAUAC
rnacentral:rRNA from 1 species